rnacentral:misc_RNA from 1 species
GUAUAAUUUACCCUCAUACUCAACUCCAUUUUCCUCAGUUAAGGCUUGAAUUCAACAUGAUUCCUUUCUUACCUUCAUGAAUGCAAACAAUCCAGCAAGUAAAUGAAGCUAAACAUAUACCCACCCUAUGAAGUACUCAAGUCUCUAAAAGGCUAAACAAUAUAUAGGCACAAACAUAUAAUAAAUACACAUAUAAAAGAAUUAAGAAAUCCUAGAUUAACCCUCAAGAUGGUCUGUCAUAUUCCUACAGUUAUAUGCUUAGAUCCCCCAACAAACAUCCACAAAUUUUACUUUCAAUCUGGUACAUCUUACAAAAUUAUUAUUUCUUACUGAUAACAUUUUUACUAAAUUUUUUGAAAA